UACAGAGAGUGCAAGCGUUAAUCGGAAUUACUGGGCGUAAAGCGUGCGAAGGCGGAUAUUUAAGUCGGAUGUGAAAGCCCUGGGCUUAACCUAGGAAUUGCAUUCGAUACUGGACAUCUAGAGUAUGGUAGAGGGAAGUGGAAUUUCCGGUGUAGCGGUGAAAUGCGUAGAUAUCGGAAAGAACAUCAGUGGCGAAGGCGGCUUCCUGGACCAAUACUGACACUGAAGCACGAAAGCGUGGGGAGCAAACAGG
rnacentral:rRNA from 1 species